AUAGCUUCCAUGGCCGGCCUAGAUACGUCUGGGUAGUACCAUUGGUCGCUUGGAGAUCAGGUGUUGCCAAAACUCUAGAGGCAUGUAUUGAUAUUCCGGUGUUUUGGUUCGGGUCUUUUCGGUUUUGAGCUGUGAUUGUAUUUUUCUGAAGAGCCAUAGGUUUGCGUGCAUAGAUGCUACAGUUUUGUAGUACUACAGCUGCAUUACCGAAGAUGAAAUCAACUGUGCCGUAGAUAUCGCAUUCGCGGAAGAACUGACGGUUUGAAUGGACAUAAAGUGUGUCU
rnacentral:lncRNA from 1 species